rnacentral:rRNA from 1 species
GACGAACGCUGGCGGCGUGCCUAAUACAUGCAAGUCGAACGCAGUGGGGACGGGUGAGUAACACGUGGGUAACCUCCCAUCAGAGGGGAUAACACUUGGAAACAGGUGCUAAACCGAUACUGAUGGAUGGACCCGCGGUGCAUUAGCUAGUUGGUGCGGUAACGGGUCACCAAGGCCACGAUGCAUAGCCGACCUGCGAGGGUGAUCGGCCACACGGGAACUAAUACACGGCCCAGACUCCUACGCGAGGCAGCAGUAGGGAAUCUUCGGCAAUUGACGAAAGUCUGACCGAGCAACGCCGCGUGAGUGAAGAAGGUUUUCGGAUCGUAAAGCUCUGUUGUUAGAUAAGCGGUAUCUAACCAGAAAGCCACGGCUAACUACGGGCCAGCAGCCGCGGUAAUUC